ensembl:Mt_tRNA tRNA-Ile
GGAGCUGUGCCUGAACGCCUAAGGGCCACUUUGAUAGAGUGAGCUAAGAGGGUUAAACUCCCUCCAGCUUCU